rfam:Bombyx mori DNA, contig: Bm_scaf90_contig34375, strain: p50T/Dazao, build 2, whole genome shotgun sequence.
UUAACUCAAAUUUGUAUGGAGUUGGAACGUUUGCCUACGUUUGCCGCUAGGGGCGCUGUUCCAACAUCAUACAAAUUUGAGUUU